rnacentral:rRNA from 1 species
UACGUAGGGGCCGAGCGUUGUCCGGAGUUAUUGGGCGUAAAGCGCGCGCAGGCGGCCUCGCGCGCCCGACGUGAAAGCCCCCGGCUUAACCGGGGAGGGUCGUUGGGGACGGCGAGGCUUGAGGGCGGGAGAGGGUGGUGGAAUUCCCGGUGUAGUGGUGAAAUGCGUAGAGAUCGGGAGGAACACCCGUGGCGAAGGCGGCCACCUGGGCCGACCCUGACGCUGAGGCGCGAAGGCGUGGGGAGCGAACGGG